UACGGAGGGUGCGAGCGUUGUCCGGAAUCACUGGGCGUAAAGGGCGCGUAGGCGGCGCGGGUAGUCAUCGGUGAAAGUUCAGGGCUCAACUCUGAAUCGGCCGGUGAUACUCCCGUGCUCGAGCACUGUAGAGGCAGGUGGAAUUCCGGGUGUAGCGGUGGAAUGCGUAGAUAUCGGGAGGAACACCAGUGGCGAAGGCGGUUGCCUGGAGCUUUGCUGACGCUGAGGCGCGAAAGCGUGGGGAGCGAUCCGG
rnacentral:rRNA from 1 species